rnacentral:lncRNA from 1 species
UCUGUCUAGGUCUAUUAUUUGACCUUAAACCAAUCAUUUAAGAUUUUAAUAAUUUUCUAAUUUCUCGGGUUGUCACACACACUCUGUCUAACUCUAGUAACUAUUGGCAAACAUGCAUGGUCCAGACCAGAAUGGAAAGUGUCCACCAAAUAUAUAGUCCACCAAGUCUCUUUUACAUGAUUAUCAGUUUUUACCAAAACGACAUCUUUAUCGUAUUAUUGAUGGAGCAUAAUAUCUAUUGGGACAAAAUCAAAUAAGAGUACGCCAGCUAGAUGCAAGUUGCAACACAUUAUGCAAUUGGUCACUUGAUUAAAAAAGCCCAGAUGCCAGAUGCAAUUGGGCAUUGAAGCAUAGCCAAGCAACUAGGAAGCAGAAAGCCCAAAUGCCAAUUGAUAAAGUUAGUUGGUCUGCACAAAUCUUGGUAAAUACCACAUCAAAACAUAGGGAGACAGCACCUAAGAGGUGAAGUGAUCUGGUCACUUGAUUAAAGUAUUACCUGUGACUUGUGAGGAUAGACACUAUCAGUUUAAGAAGCCAAGGUACACAAGUACGGCAUAAUAUUGACAAAAUGGCCAACAAAGUAAUCAAAAUAACCAACAUAGAAAAGGAAAUUAGAAGUAAACAGAGCAUAAAAUCGGAAAGAGAUGAAAAUGUGCACUUUAAUCAAAUAAACUUUUUUCUUUUAAAAGAUAAGUACUAUGGUUAGUGUCUGUAUGCACCAAAUUGCAGAAUUGUGCUCUACUCGUGCAAAGGCAACCUUCAUUAGUGAUAUAAAAGAUCUGGAAUUAUUAAUCUUGCAACUUCAACAAAAAAUUUAAUUGCCCAGUCUAAACUCAACAUUUAUACUUUCAUCAUGAAACAAAAGGAAAAUUGUCAUUCGGAGUGUUGUAAUGAUAGUUCAACUCUUAACACUAAGAAUUUUUACACUUUGAGACAUGGGCUAUGGCAUAUCAGGCAACCAGACAGAAUGAAAGUCACUCAGUUGAUUUUGGACACAUGCCAAAAGCCUGUAGAGUAUACGCAGCUGAU